CAAGUUGCCUGAGGGCUUGUUGUUGGGUGGGGCCAGUCUCUAGGGUGGGCCGCCUGCCCUGGCUGAGCUGGAUUAAAUCGGUGCUGUAGCGGGUGGGGCAGACCCUGGGCUAGCAGGCCUCAGGGAGAACUCCAAUGGCGUCUGUGUCAGCUCGCCAACACCAGGCCACAACAAUGGCCGCCGCCAAUGUACCAGUCCCUGGAGAGGUCUCACCCCUCACCGAGAUGCACUCAGGGCCUUUUAGCAUACAGCAUGGAUGCCAGCACCGAGCAGGAGCUUCACAAAUUUUGGUGGAUGUGCCGAAGAACUACUGGUUUCUGAGAAGAAACAAUCAGCAAGUAAAUUCAGGAUGAUCCCUCGCUAUUGGUGUAGAUCUAGGAGGAACUUUUGUUGAAAAAUAUUCUAUUCAACAUUCUACUCAGAGAUAUCUCAGGAGCUGCUUCUGAUGACAACGAGACAGAGCCAAUGGAGAUGUUUCUGCUGCAAUUAUUGCUGCGCGAAUACAGACAUUGCUGGAAUCACGUCUCAAGCUGGUCUCCUCAUUCGAGCGCUGGUUUCUGAAAAGCCUAGCCUCGAUUUCCUUCCUGUGCCAAUCAAGGAGCAGCCCCUUUCUGGGGAAGGCUGGAAAUGAGACCCAUUGUUCAUCUGCAUUGUGCAAACUUUCCUCAAUUAAAAAGGAAAAAAAGCCUUUAAAAUGUGUAGGUUGGAGGCUUUGCUUCCUCCCUCUUAAAAGAGGCCCUAGGGACAGCUGGCAGGGCAGCUGCAGCCCAAGGGGGAGGGAGAAUGGGGCGGAGAGACAUUCCAGGGUCCCGCUUCUGUCGGAGGGAGAAGCUGGUUGUGCUCUUCCGUAAUCCAGAGGUCUGCUGGAGCCUUCAUAACCCUUGAGACUCAGGCACAAUUUUCUUGAAUCCCCAAUUAUCUGGCUUGUGGACUCAACAAAUUUCUCCAAAUUCCAGGGUGCUUAUAAUCCUUACAAUCGCAUGAUCUCCUCUACCUCUGCGGUUCCUCAUUGCCUCGAUAUGGGACGAAUGUCAAGCUUUUCAUCCAUUAAAACACAUCUACAUGUUAACGAGUAAAAUAUAGAACAGAAAUCACUACACACAGCAUUUUUAAAUGCAGUAGACUUCAUACCAAGCUUGAGUUUCACCAAGAGAUCAUGAAAUAAGCUUAUUAAAAAUAAUAAGUUUUUUUUGUCUGCCUGGAUCUCCUCCCUGGUCCUCGCUGCCCAAUGCC